AGACAUUUUCAUUCAAUACAUGCACUGCUUGAUACAGUGUCUGUUUGUACAAGAAUAAAGUUCAACAUAAGCCUAAAUACCAACGUAAAGAGGGAGGAGAGAAUGUAAAGGGGACGUAAAGUGGGAGGAGAGAAUGUAAAGGGGACGUAAAGAGGUAGGAGAGAAUGUAAAGGGGACGUAAAGAGGUAGAAGAGCAUGUAAAGGGGACGUAAAGUGGGAGGAGAGAAUGUAAAGGGGACGUAAAGAGGGAGGAGAGAAUGUAAAGGGGACGUAAAGUGGGAGGAGAGAAUGUAAAGGGGACGUAAAGAGGUAGGAGAGAAUGUAAAGGGGACGUAAAGAGGGAGGAGAGAAUGUAAAGGGGACGUAAAGUGGGAGGAGAGAAUGUAAAGGGGACGUAAAGAGGUAGGAGAGAAUGUAAAGGGGACGUAAAGAGGUAGGAGAGAAUGUAAAGGGGACGUAAAGUGGGAGGAGAGAAUGUAAAGGGGACGUAAAGAGGUAGGAGAGAAUGUAAAGGGGACGUAAAGUGGGAGGAGAGAAUGUAAAGGGGACGUAAAGAGGUAGGAGAGAAUGUAAAGGGGACGUAAAGUGGGAGGAGAGAAUGUAAAGGGGACGUAAAGAGGGAGGAGAGAAUGUAAAGGGGACGUAAAGUGGGAGGAGAGAAUGUAACGGGGACGUAAAGAGGGAGGAGAGAAUGUAAAGGGGACGUAAAGUGGGAGGAGAGAAUGUAACAGGGACGUAAUGAGGGAGGAGAGAAUGUAAAGGGAACGUAAAGGACGUAAAGUAGGAGAGCAUGUAAAGGUGACGUAAAGAGGGAGGGGAGAAUGUAAAGGGGACGUAAUGAGGGAGGAGAGAAUGUAAAGGGAACGUAAAGGACGUAAAGUAGGAGAGCAUGUAAAGGGGACGUAAAGAGGGAGGGGAGAAUGUAAAGGGGACGUAAAGAGGGAGGGGAGAAUGUAAAGGGGACGUAAAGAGGGAGGGGAGAAUUUAAAGGAGACGAAAGAGGGAGGGGAGAAUGCAAAGGGAACGUAAAGAGGGAGGAGAGCAUGUAAAGGGAACGUAAAGAGGGAGGAGAGCAUGUAAAGGGGACGUAAAGAGGGAGGAGAGCAUGUAAAGGGGACGUAAAGAGGGAGGAGAGAAUGUUAAGGGGACGUAAAGAGGGAGGAGAGCAUGUAAAGAGGGAGGAGAGAAUGUAAAGGGGACGUAAAGAGGGAGGAGAGCAUGUAAAGAGGGAGGAGAGCAUGUAAAGAGGGAGGAGAGCAUGUAAAGGGUACGUAAAGAGGGAGGAGAGACAGCGACGCCCUUGCUGUGCCAUAAGGCAACAGAGUACAACUAGAGUGAUUGGAGAGCAGGAGGACUCAGAUAGAGCAGAUUCUCUAGAGCGACUCACGAGCUCUGAUGAUGACACAGCUAAUCCACGAUUGGCAGAGUACACCGCUUGACAACGAUCACGUGUGUUUCAUGUCUCUUCUCACACCUUCAGUUCCACUAAGGAUCACAUCUGUUCUUUAUAACAGUAAAAGCUCUUUUCACAUAGUUGCGAUAAAUGUUUAUCAAAAUAAAACAAAUAAAACAAUGUAGACCCCACUUCACUGGUAUUUAGGCUUAUUUUGAACUUUAUUCUUGUACAAACAGUAGUGCAUGUAUUGAAUGAAAAUGUCUCUGAAAUAUCUGUAUUUGGAAAAUAAUGCGUUUAUUCCACUUCAGCUGUGGUAAAGUAUGCAAACUUAGCCUGAGCAUCACUACAGGAAGCAGAAAGUGUCUGACAUCACAUCUCAGUUUUCAGCUUCUCUCGUCUGCACACGGCAACUCUCACCAAUCGGUUACAUCCAGCCACAGCCCAUGUCCAGCACAGCUAAUAUAAGGAAGGAAUAGAGGGAGUAAAUGUAAAGAGGAUAAAGAGAGGGAGGAGUAAAGCGUGUAAAAAGAGUGAGGAGUAGAGUUAAAUAGGAUAGAGAGAGGGAGGAGUGAAGAGGGAGGAGUAGAGUUAAAGAGGAUAGAGAGGGAGGAGUAAAGAGGGUAAAAAGAGGGAGGAGUAGAGUUAAAGAGGGAGGAAGUAAAGGAGGAAGUAGAGAGAUUUUGAAGAAGGGUGGAUGGAGGAAGUACAGAGGAUAGUUGGGCACUGAGAAUCAUUCCCACCUCCAAGUUAAUUGAUUUUUCAUUGUUGUUCUUUAAAAAAAAAAUUUUUUUUGAAGUUCUGUCAUUAACUGCAAUGUGCACUUUCAACACAAUGUGUCCAAGACUGUUAAUAUUAAAGAGUCAUUUAAUCGGA